rnacentral:rRNA from 1 species
AGAGUUUGAUCCUGGCUCAGGACGAACGCUGGCGGCAUGCCUAAUACAUGCAAGUCGAACGGGUAUACCCGCAAGGGUGUAUCAGUGGCGAACGGGUGAGUAAUGUAUGAGCAACCUGCCCUAUUCAACGGGAUAGCGGUUGGAAACGACCGGUAAUACCGUAUAAGACCACACCGCCGCAUGGCGGAGCGGUCAAAGCGAUUUAGCGGAAUAGGAUGGGCUCAUAUCCCAUUAGCUAGUUGGUGAGAUAACAGCCCACCAAGGCUACGAUGGGUAGCCGACUUGAGAGAGUGAUCGGCCACACUGGAACUGAGACACGGUCCAGACUCCUACGGGAGGCAGCAGUAAGGAAUAUUGGGCAAUGGAGGAAACUCUGACCCAGCAAUGCCGCGUGAGUGAAGAAGGUCUUCGGAUUGUAAAGCUCUUUUAUCGGGAACGAAAAAAAUGACGGUACCCGAUGAAUAAGCCCCGGCUAACUACGUGCCAGCAGCCGCGGUAAUACGUAGGGGGCAAGCGUUGUCCGGAAUGACUGGGCGUAAAGGGAGUGUAGGCGGUCUGAUAAGUUGGAAGUGUAAUACCCAGAGCUCAACUCGGGUGCUGCUUUCAAUACUGUCGGACUUGAGUGCAGGAGAGGAGAGUGGAAUUCCUAGUGGAGCGGUGGAAUGCGUAGAUAUUAGGAGGAACAUCAGUGGCGAAGGCGACUCUCUGGCCUGUUACUGACGCUGAGGCUCGAAAGCGUGGGGAGCAAACAGGAUUAGAUACCCUGGUAGUCCACGCCGUAAACGAUGGAUACUAGGUGCAGGGAGGUAUUGACUCCUUCUGUGCCGCAGCUAACGCAUUAAGUAUCCCGCCUGGGGAGUACGGCCGCAAGGUUGAAACUCAAAUGAAUUGACGG